rnacentral:lncRNA from 1 species
GAAUCGUCUUCUCCAUUCAUACUCACAGACCGCUCACCAAUGUUUUUCCAUUCACCAUACUCGACCCAGGUACGACCCUUCAUCUCCCCAACGCACACUCAUCUAACAGACCUCACACCAAAAACACCCACGUAAUUUCCAUUGAGAGAGUAGCGAAGAGAGAGAGAGAGAGAGAUAGAAUCGAGAGAGAGAGAAGGAAGAAGUCGAGCUAAUAAUUUCGGUGAGUUUCUUGCCGGAAAACAUCGUUGUUGCUUUAAAAUUGGGCUGUUAUUCAUUUUCCGGCACUGUCUGAGCCUUUUUCAAAAAUCCUGCGAAACAGCAACCAAAUCAGUUCCCUCCCAUCAUUUCUCGUUCCCUCCGGUCAAAUAUUUCUCAAAUUUUUGAAUGUCAUUAGCUUCUGUGAGUUCUGAGAUUUGUUGGGAUUAAUUGGUUAUAGAGUUAUUUGUUCAAGUUUGGUUCGUUGGGUUAGAGAUUCGAGCUGCGGGUUCAUGUAUCGAGGCUGGGUUCAUUGUUUGAGGUUCGGUCGCGGGCUUCAUCUCUUCAUCAGUUAAUACUAAAUUCUGGAAUCUUUGAAUUUGAAUUGAGGUCUAAUUCUAUUCCUCCUCUUCUUUAUUUCAUCACUUGUCAUGUUCGAUACUUUGAAUUGAAUUCAGUGUGUUAAUUGAUAUGUGAUCAUGUGAAUUAUUAUUUGUUGUGAUUCGGUGUUUGAUUUCCUUGAUUAUGGAUUGAUUGUGGGUUGCGCGUUGAAAUAAUAUCUCAUUAAAAAUUAAAAUUGGUUGGUUGGGGUGGAAUUGAAAAUUAACAAAAAAGGAGAGAUUCGAUUUAAUUUUGAUUUAGUGUUGGCAUGAAUCAUGAUAGGUUUAUGAUGGGUUGAAACGGAUAGGUAAUAUAGGUUCGGGUAGGCUAAUUUUAGAACUUUUUGUUUUGGUCGAAUGUUGGAAUGUGUGUAUGAAUGCUUCCUUCUAGUUUUAUCGUGAUUUAAUUCAAAAUGUAUUCAUUAGGCCGGGGAAUGCCCCGAGGGAUUUGUAUUGAUUUAUCCAGAGAAUGCCCCGAAGUAUCAUGUACUUGAAGACGGUGCACGAUCAAGGCCCAGAACGUCGGGAAAAGCAAUGGAGCGUAGUUAGAAUUAGCCUAGAAUAGAGUAGGUUUAUAUUUUCAUAUUUUUUUUAUUUUUAUUUUCAUUUCGAAAUUGUAUAAUUGGACUGAACACUAAAUUUUGAAUUGUUUUGUUUUAUUUGAUUUUUUUAC